rnacentral:rRNA from 1 species
GACGAACGCUGGCGGCGUGCCUAAUACAUGCAAGUCGAGCGAAGUUUUUCUGGUGCUUGCACUAGAAAAACUUAGCGGCGAACGGGUGAGUAACACGUAAAGAACCUGCCUCAUAGACUGGGACAACUAUUGGAAACGAUAGCUAAUACCGGAUAACAGUAUUUCUCGCAUGAGAGAUAUUUAAAAGUUGGUUAUGCUAACACUAUGAGAUGGCUUUGCGGUGCAUUAGCUAGUUGGUGGGGUAAAGGCCCACCAAGGCGACGAUGCAUAGCCGACCUGAGAGGGUGAUCGGCCACACUGGGACUGAGACACGGCCCAGACUCCUACGGGAGGCAGCAGUAGGGAAUCUUCCGCAAUGGGCGAAAGCCUGACGGAGCAACGCCGCGUGAGUGAAGAAGGAUUUCGGUUCGUAAAGCUCUGUUGUUAGGGAAGAAUGGACAUGUAGUAACUAUACAUGUAAGAGACGGUACCUAACCAGAAAGCCACGGCUAACUACGUG